GACGAACGCUGGCGGCGUGCUUAACACAUGCAAGUCGAACGAUGAUGCUGGAGCUUGCUCCAGUUGAUUAGUGGCGAACGGGUGAGUAACACGUGAGCAAACUGCCCUAGACUCUGGGAUAACUGCGGGAAACUGUAGCUAAUACCGGAUACUUUCACCGGAAGGCAUCUUCUGGUGAUGAAAGAAUUUCGGUCAGGGAUGAGCUCGCGGCCUAUCAGCUUGUUGGUGAGGUAACGGCUCACCAAGGCGACGACGGGUAACCGGCCUGAGAGGGUGACCGGUCACACUGGGACUGAGACACGGCCCAGACUCCUACGGGAGGCAGCAGUGGGGAAUAUUGCACAAUGGGCGCAAGCCUGAUGCAGCAACGCCGCGUGAGGGAUGAAGGCCUUCGGGUUGUAAACCUCUUUUAGCAGGGAAGAAGCGAAAGUGACGGUACCUGCAGAAAAAGCACCGGCUAACUACGUGCCAGCCGCCGCAGUAA
rnacentral:rRNA from 1 species